AGCGAACGCUAGCGGCAGGCUUAACACAUGCAAGUCGAACGAAGUUCUUCGGAACCUAGUGGCGAACGGGUGAGUAACACGUAGGUAAUGUACCCUUUGGUGGAGGAUAACUCAGGGAAACCUGAGCUAAUACUGCAUAUGUCCUUCGGGAUAAAAGUCUUCGGACGCCUUAGGAGCAGCCUGCGGCCCAUUAUCUAAUCCUAGUUGGUAGGGUAACGGCCUACCAAGGGUACGAUGGGUAGCUGGUCUGAGAGGAUGAUCAGCCACACUGGGACUGAGACACGGCCCAGACUCCUACGGGAGGCAGCAGUGGGGAAUAUUGCGCAAUGGGGGAAACCCUGACGCAGCCAUGCCGCGUGUGUGAUGAAGGCCCUCGGGUCGUAAAGCACUGUCGGGAGGGACGAAGAUCUGACGGUACCUCGCAAGAAAGCACCGGCUAACUCCGUG
rnacentral:rRNA from 1 species